UCCAGGUUGAUCCUGCCUCUGCCUGUCCAUUAUGUGGAGUGUGUAAUGCCGCUUUCAUUCACCCAGGUUUCCUAUUCUCUCCCGGGACAGGGUUUCUCUGUGUAGCCUGCCCUCGAACACACAGCGAUUGGGAUCAAAGGCAUGUGCCACCACACUCGGGAAGUGAAUGCAUGUGUUCAUGAAGAUGUAUGUCCAAGGCCAGAAGGAGGAAGGAGCUUUCAGCUUUUACACAGAGCCUCAGUAGCUUCCUGGACUGCCUGGGGAGUCAGGUUAGCCCCGAGCCAGGCUUGUUUGGAGACAGACUCAAGGGAGCAGCCUCCACAGCAAGGCGACCACAGAACAGAUGCCAAUUAUUCCAAGUUCAAGGUAUCAAUACAUGCACUGUUCCAGCACAGCAAGAUAGGAUGUUUAUUUGUGAUAAAUAAAUACUGGCCCUUUCCCUCCCUUAUGGGGCCUUGAGGUCUCUUAAUGGCAUUUUAAAUCAUUUCGGAAACCCUUAAGAGACAUUUCAGUCCGUCCGUCAUAUGAGUGGAAAGUGCCUCCAUGGGUGAGUGUGGAGCUGCAUGAAUUUCCAAGUGUCUAUCAGGUUCAAAAAAUUCAAAACAAACAAGAUAAAGGACAUGUGCCCAGGCCGGAAUAUAAAGCAUUCUUGAAAACGAGAGGAGGAUGUCUGAAGACUGCCAACGGGGAAGGAAAAAAAGCUAUUGAUUUAGUUUCCUUCUAAAAUGAGUCACAGGUGCUCAGAUGAACUGAGUCAAAAGGAAG